GGAAGUAAAAGCCGUAACAAGGUUUCCGUAGGUGAACCUGCGGAAGGAUCAUUACCGAAUUGUCAAACGGGUUGUUGCUGGUCUUCAAACGGGGACAUGUGCACGCUCUGUUUACACAUCCACUCACACCUGUGCACCCUCCGUAGUUCUAUGGUCUGGGGGACCCUGUCUUCCUGCCGUGGUUCUACGUCUUUACACACACUCUGUAAUAAAGUCUUAUGGAAUGUAUGCCGCGUCUAACGCAAUACAAUACAACUUUCAGCAACGGAUCUCUUGGCUCUC
rnacentral:misc_RNA from 1 species